GGUUCGUGGGGAUUAGAGGGCAUUAGAUUUAGUUGAUUAUAGUACUUAUUUUUUUCUCAUAAAACCUAAAAAUAUCACCUGUAAGAAAUGGUAAAACUUGACAGUGUUCUCAGUAUUAUUAGAGUUCCUAUUUCUUCUCUUUCCUACUUAUGUUAGCAGUAGGCUAUCCACCCUGACAUAUUUUAAAAGGAGACAACAAAGAGGCAGCCAGUGAAAGUCCCCUUUCCACAGCCAUCUUCAGGCUCAGUAGAAGUGGGAGAAUAAUAUUGGAAUUAGUAUUGUAGACUUACAAGCUUAUGAAGAUGAAAUGCACUGUUCCCACCCCACACUCCUGUCUCUGUCAGACUCACCUUCAGUUAUGUCUAUUGUAACCCAGACAAGCUCACCCGAGACCCAGAAAAAUUGGGAGCUAGUUCCACGCUGUAUUAAAUAUGACUCACAAAUACACAAUCCUUUUUCUUUUCCAAUGACUUUUAUCACAUAGGGGAUGUUACAUUAUGUAUAAAUAUAUUUUUUUAUUUAAAAAUUUUUUUUGUCUUUUUAUGGCUGCACCCGUGGCAUAUGGAAGUUCCCAGGCUAGGGGUCCAAUCAGACCUGUAGCCACCGGCCUAUACCAGAGCCACAGCAAUGCCAGAUCCGAUCCACGUCUGUGACCUACACUACAGCUCACGGCAAUGCCAGAUCCUUAACCCACUGAGCAAGGCCAGGGAUUGAACCCACAAACUCAUGGUUUCUAGUUGGAUUCGUUUCCACUGUGCCACGAUGGGAACUCCUUUUAUUAUUAUUAUUUCUUAUUUUAUAAACAUUUGAUUGUUUGGUUUGAACGUUGUCUCAUCGUGAAUGUAAAAGCAGCUAUUCUCUGCUACAGACAAAAUUCCAGAUUUCAGCUCGACCCGCCUACCUCUGAGAAAGUGGUUCUGGGAAGAUGCUGUGAACAUGGCAGGUGUCUUGUUAGAGUCAACUGGAUAUUAAAUCUGAAGACUGUCAGAAGAUAUAUUUGGCCCAGGCUUCUGUGGAGGGUGUCACACAGGAACUACAGCUGUCUACAGGAAGCAUCAGCCAUUCUUCUUCAGCUGGAGUUUUUGCAGCUGUAUAGCUCUGGUGCAAGGAUAUGAGAAACCCACCAGACAGGCCACAGCUGCAGCUGUUUCAAGGACGCAGCCUUGAGAGCGUAAGGUGCUGUUGAGACCAUGAGACCAUCUGGACUGAAUAUGUGAUGGAACCUAGCCUAGACAGGUCCUGUGAACAUAAUAAAAGGCAUGGAGGAGAAAAAAUGUCCCACUUGUUUAGGGGCAGCACGUUAAUGGGAUGUAGGAGAAGAAACUGAUGAAGAGGCUCUAGCCCUGGGUGCAUCUAUCCAUCACUGGGGCUGUGAAUCAUCCUUUUAUCCAGCGCAUCCUCCUGUCAAUCACUUAGCAGCCACCUUUGUUGUCGGAUGGACCCUUGAGAUAUCACAGUUCUUGUGUUCAUGUCACCCUCAUUUUACUUCCUAAUGGUCUCAAAGUGCAGGAGUAGUGAUACUGGCAAUUCAGGUGUGCCAAAGAAAAGCCUUCAAGUGCUUCCUAGAAGAGAAAAGGUGAAUUUUCUUGACUUAAAAUGGAAAGAAAAAUAUCAUAGACUGCAGUUGCUAAGAUCUAUGCUAAGAACAAAACUUUUACUCGAGAAAUUGUGAACAAAAAAGAAAUUUGUGCUGGUUUUUCUGUGGCUCCUAAAACUGCAAAAGUUAUAAUUCAGUGCAUGGCUGCACCAUCUACAGGGAUUGGAGGAUUAAUACUACAAUUUUGUAAACAAGCCAUCAACAUUAUGGAGGCUUACAGUUCUGCAAGAGCCUAGUCAAAGUCAAUUUGACUGUUGGGUUCUGAGCUUGAACGGAAGUGUACCUCAUCCAUAUCCUCCCCACAAAAGACUUUCAGAAUUGGUGGACAAGUUCCCCUUGGCUACUUAGAAAACAUCCACCAAAAUGCCUUCCUAGGUUUUAUAAGUCCAGUUUGAAUUUGUUCCCGGGUUAUUAAACCUCUUUGUACUGCUAAACACUUUUUUGAUAAGCCUAACAUUAUUUUAAAAUAAAGUUAAAUAAUAAUAUAAUUUAUUAAACUAAUUAUUGAUUGUUAGACCCUUAGAUUAUUUCUAAAUUUUCUUUUUUUGAAUAACUUUGUAGUUAAUAUCUUGGCCAAAAAUUUUUGUGUCCUAUCUAUUUCCUUAUAGUACAUUCCUAGAAGUGCAAAUGUUGGGUGAAAGUGUAUGCAUAUUUUUCUCUCUUUUUUUCCCUUCUGGUUUUGAGAUGAUUGACAUAUAGCAUUCUGUAAAUUUAACGUGUACAGCAUCAUGAUUUGACUUAUUUAUAUCCUGAAAUGAUUAUCACAGCAAGAUUAAUCAACAUCAUCACUUCAUAUAGAUACAAAAUUAAAUAAAAACAAUUUUUCUUGUCAUGACCACUCUUAAUUUUCAUAUAUAACAUAACGUACAUGUUACUUAUAUGUAUCAUGUUAUACAUUAUCUUCCUAGCACUUACCUUAUAACUGAAAGUUUGUACCUUUUUGACAACCCCACCUUCAUCCAGGUUCUCCUCCCUCAACUCUCUGCUUCUGGGAACCACAGAUAGUCUCUUUUUCUGCAGUUUGCUUGUUUUUGUAAUGUAAUUGACCUACAACACUGUCUUAGUUUCUGUUGUACAACAUAGUAAUUUGAUGUUUCUAUACAUUUCAAAAUGAUUACCAUAUAUGUCUAGUUAUUACAUGUCACCAUACAAAGGUACUAUGUAUGUUCCCUACACUGUACAUACUAUGACCCAUUUAUUUUAUAACUGGAAGUUUGUACCUCUUAAUCUCCCUCACUUAUUUCUUUGCUCCCCUCAACCACUUCUCCUCUGGCAACUGCAAAAGCAAAAUGUGCUUGUAUCAAGUAUUUUUUUUUUUUUUUCUUCUUAGGGCUGCACCUGAGGCAUAUGGAAGUUCCCAGGCUAGGGGUGGAAUCAGACCUGCAGUGGCUGGCCUAUGCCCACAGCCACAGCAACGCUGGAUCUGAGCUGCAUCUGCAACCUAUAUUGCAGCUCACAGGAAUGCUGGAUCCUUUAACCCAUUGAGCCAGGGACUGAACCUGCAUCCUCAUGGAUACUAGUCGUGUUCAUUACCACUGGGCGCAACGGGAACUCCUGUAUCAAGGCUUUAAUGUGGUACCAAAUGUUGUUCUUACUUGAGAUUCUUUUCUCAUUUGGCAACUUUGUUUAAUUUGUUAACAGAGUGUGAAACUUUUGUUUUAUUAAAAAAAUAAAUGUUCUCUCUCCAAGAAUUG
rnacentral:lncRNA from 1 species